GACGAACGCUGGCGGCGUGCUUAACACAUGCAAGUCGAGCGGAGCGGCGAACGGGUGAGUAACGCGUGAGUAACUGCCCCCCUCUCUGGGAUAACAGUUGGAAACGGCUGCUAAUACCGGAUAGUGGGGGAUGACUCGCGUCCUAUCAGCUUGUUGGUGGGGUAGUGGCCUACCAAGGCGACGACGGGUAGCCGGCCUGAGAGGGCGACCGGCCACAGGGGGCUGGGAUACGGCCGAAACCCCUACGGGAGGAGGGAGUGGGGAAUAUUGCAAAAGGGGGGAAACCUGGAGCAAGAACGGCCGGGGGGGGGAGGACGGUCUUCGGGUGGUAACCCGCUUUCAGCCAUAAGGGGGUAGUGGAAGAAGAAGAACCGGCUAAUUACGUGCCAGCAGCGGGGGUAUAC
rnacentral:rRNA from 1 species